GAUGAACGCUGGCGGCGUGCCUAAUACAUGCAAGUCGAGCGAACGGACGAGAAGCUUGCUUCUCUGAUGUUAGCGGCGGACGGGUGAGUAACACGUGGAUAACCUACCUAUAAGACUGGGAUAACUUCGGGAAACCGGAGCUAAUACCGGAUAAUAUUUUGAACCGCAUGGUUCAAAAGUGAAAGACGGUCUUGCUGUCACUUAUAGAUGGAUCCGCGCUGCAUUAGCUAGUUGGUAAGGUAACGGCUUACCAAGGCAACGAUGCAUAGCCGACCUGAGAGGGGGAUCGGCCACAAUGGAACUGAGACACCGUCCAGACUCCUAAGGGAGGCAGCAGUUGGGAAUCUUCCCCAAAGGGCGGAAGCCUGACGGGGCAACCGCGCGUGAGUGAUGGAGGUCUUCGGAUCGGAAAACUCUGUUAUUAGGGAAGAACAUAUGUGUAAGUAACUGUGCACAUCUUGACGGUACCUAAUCAGAAAGCCACGGCUAACUACGUG
rnacentral:rRNA from 1 species